rnacentral:rRNA from 1 species
GGUGAGUAACGCGUAUGCAACCUGUCCGUUACAGGGGAAUAGCCCAUGGAAACGUGGAUUAAUGCUCCAUAAUAUAAUAUAGAGGCAUCUUUAUGUUAUUAAAUAUUUAUAGGUAACGGUUAGGCAUGCGUCCUAUUAGAUAGUUGGGGGGGUAACGGCCCACCAAGUCGAUGAUAGGUAGGGGUUCUGAGAGGAAGGUCCCCCACACUGGUACUGAGACACGGACCAGACUCCUACGGGAGGCAGCAGUGAGGAAUAUUGGUCAAUGGGCGAGAGCCUGAACCAGCCAAGUCGCGUGAGGGAUGACUGCCCUAUGGGUUGUAAACCUCUUUUGUAUGGGGGGAAUAAGCUUUACGAGUAGAGUGAUGACAGUACCAUACGAAUAAGCAUCGGCUAACUCCGUGCCAGCAGCCGCGGUAAUACGGAGGAUGCGAGCGUUAUCCGGAUUUAUUGGGUUUAAAGGGUGCGUAGGCGGCAUUAUAAGUUAGUGGUAAAAUAUUGGGGCUUCACCUCACUACGCCAUUAAUACUGUAGAGCUAGAGAACAGACGAGGUAGGCGGAAUAAGUUAAGUAGCGGUGAAAUGCAUAGAUAUAACUUAGAACACCGAUAGCGAAGGCAGCUUACCAGACUGAGUCUGACGCUGAUGCACGAGAGCAUGGGUAGCGAACAGGAUUAGAUACCCUGGUAGU